rnacentral:rRNA from 1 species
ACGCUCGACACCUACGGGAGGCAGCAGUGGGGAAUAUUGGGCAAUGGGCGCAAGCCUGACCCAGCAACGCCGCGUGAAGGAAGAAGGCCCUCGGGUUGUAAACUUCUUUUAACAGGGACGAAGUAAGUGACGGUACCUGUUGAAUAAGCCACGGCUAACUACGUGCCAGAAGCCGCGGUAAUCUGAGCGGGCUGGCAAGGC